GGGAGGAUGCGAAUGAGGUGGAAGAUUGGAUCUAUUGAUGCGGCGGAGGAUGAGUCAGUUACGGUGGUGGUUGAGGUUUGUUGAACCGGGUUCUCCGAUUUGGUUCGCAUUUUCGGGUUGGGGUUAAUGUGGAAAUGAAGAGUGGUGAAUUUAUGUUAGUUUGUGAGUGCUGGUGUUAUUUCUUUGAUUGAAGUAGAAAGAUGGAACCGCAAGUGGAAAGUGAUUUUUUUUAUUUGUUUUUUU
rnacentral:lncRNA from 1 species